GGAAAAGAAACCAACAGGGAUUGCCCCAGUAACGGCGAGUGAAGCGGCAACAGCUCAAAUUUGAAAUCUGGCCCCCAGGGCCCGAGUUGUAAUUUGCAGAGGAUGCUUUUGGCGCGGUGCCUUCCGAGUUCCCUGGAACGGGACGCCAUAGAGGGUGAGAGCCCCGUCUGGUCGGACGCCUAGCCUGUGUAAAGCUCCUUCGACGAGUCGAGUAGUUUGGGAAUGCUGCUCUAAAUGGGAGGUAUAUGUCUUCUAAAGCUAAAUACCGGCCAGAGACCGAUAGCGCACAAGUAGAGUGAUCGAAAGAUGAAAAGCACUUUGAAAAGAGGGUUAAAUAGUACGUGAAAUUGUUGAAAGGGAAGCGCUUGUGACCAGACUUGGGCCCGGUGGAUCAUCCAGCGUUCUCGCUGGUGCACUCCGCCGGGUUCAGGCCAGCAUCAGUUCGCCGCGGGGGAAAAAGGCUUCGGGAACGUGGCUCCUACGGGAGUGUUAUAGCCCGUUGCAUAAUACCCUGGGGCGGACUGAGGUUCGCGCUCCGCAAGGAUGCUGGCGUAAUGGUCAUCAGCGACC
rnacentral:rRNA from 1 species